CGCGGUAGAUGUGACGACGAGCAGAUGCGCCCGGCGCGUCGCUUUACAGAGGCAGAACCCUUCACCGGAAUAAAGAAAGCGCGCGAUGGUGCUCCGGUGCUGCGGUGCACGCAUCCACUCCAACAGCUCAAGACAGAGCCUGCUAAUGAUUGGGAGAUCACGCUGCUGUUUGCUGCGCCGCGAGCGCGACCUUGCGGGUCGCAUGAUCAUGCCUGGAGCCUGGUCUUUCCGUUUCGUGCAUGCUGUGUCGCCUCCGCAUGGAGCGGUCUGGUUGCCGGCCGGUUCGUUUGUUUGACGUUCGAGUGGCUUCUCUCUUGUCUUGACUUUAGAGCCUUAUUUGGGUGAUGGAGACCGGCAGCACAGCAAGCCAGCGGUGCAUGUUUUUCUAGUGGCACCACCGGCGCUCGUUUCCUCCAGCUCGGUCGUCUCUGGAUUUGCAGUGACAGUUUUAGAUCAGAGGGGCAAAUUGGUGCCACGGAAACUGUUCACGACGUACUUCCCCGUCGUCCGCCGAAAAUAUCAGCUGUUUCCAACAGUCUACUAAAACUACGGUAAAGCUGGUCCUUUCCCUCACAAAAUCUUCGUCUUUUUCUCCGUUUCAUAAAAGCACUGAUAGGUGACGGCCGGGGCUCCCGCGGUGAACCCAAGCGACGGCGACGUGUUCCGGACCGAGGACGGCUGUCGAAUUUCGAAGAGACGAAGAGGCCCUAUGGAGCUCUGCCAAACAGUGGAAUUGGGAGGGGCUUCAGCGCCGGAGCCUUUGAAAACGCAGUGACCGGAGCCGUUUGGAUGGCACGUGCGGAGUCCUGCGGCCGGGGCGAGCCCGAUGCGGAGGCGUCGGCCACCGGCGUGAGCCCGAGGCGGCCGCCAGCGCGACCUCGAGGUGGAGGAGGCGGCGGUCGCCGGCGCGAGACCGAGGCGGAGGAGGAGGUGGAGGCGGCCGGCACGAGACCAAGGCGGAGGACGAGGAGGCCGCCGGCGCGAGCCCGAGGUGGAGGACGAGGCGACCGCCGGCGCGAGCUCGAGGCAAAGGUAGCAUGCGCCGACGUGCGAGCGUGAUGCAGAGAUGUGGAAGAGGCAGUGUGGCAGAACCAAUCCGCUUAAUUAUUCCGGCUCAACUGCGGUAGUCAUCACUAUCCAGGCGAUACUAACUCAACGCACUUCAAAUGGAACAAUCCAUUGGUCUGUCGGGUCACCGUCCGAUUCAACCACGGUUACACAGGAUCGAGG